CCCCCAUUCAAGUUCAUGGACUCCCUACAAUUUAUUCCUAGACACCCUUUGGCUUUGAAGUAGGGUGUGGGAAAGAUAUUUCUCCAUAGAGAUUUGGGGGCCUGGACAAAGUUUACUCUUUGGCAGAAUGUUGCCGAUGCCUCUCACUGCAUAGUUUUGUUUUUCAUAGUUUUGGGGGGCAGGUCAGCACCCAUCAGAUAGCCUGUGCUUUCUGCUGAACUAGACUCUCAGAUUUGGAACCCUUAUAAGAAUAGCAUAGUUGGGAAGGUGGAUCUAGUGCCCAUCUGGACACAUGACGCCAUGCUGUGCUGGGCAUUUAACCAUAUGAUCUUCCCAAGGAUGAGAUUACCCUUUUCUGUGAUGGAGCAUUGAUGACCCUGCCUUACACCAGCAGGCCCACCACAUGGAUCAGACAUGGGAAAUCCAGUUCUUCUGAAGUGGGGAAGUGAAACCUAGGGUUUUUGUUCUUUGUUCUUCUCUACAUUUUUGGUCCCUCCUUCAUGGGGCUGUCCAUUUUGGGGGGGUGAGACUUGAUUGUGUUAUCCUCUUAGUUUCACCCUCCCCCCCAAUCAUUGCCUGUGCCAGGCUUCUCAUAUCUGCAAAAUUAGGAUUGUCCAGGAAAAGCCCUGAAACCCUGUAAAUGAUCCCCAAGACCCUUCCCCCAAGGGCUGAUGUGACAUCGAAUCUAUCUGCCAGGCCUUCUACCCCAUAGGGAGUCAAACUCUGGACUCACUUCUCCCAACCGACACGAGCCACAAUGAAGGUCAGGUUCCAAGAGAAUGACUUGUUUCCCCAAGGGUCCCGGAGGUGCUCCUCGGGGGGCAAUAAAGUUCUUUUAAUGCUGUCAACUUAA